rnacentral:rRNA from 1 species
ACUCCUACGGGAGGCAGCAGUGGGAGUAUUGCAUCAAUGGGAAACCGGUAGCAUGCAGCCAUGCCGCGUGUGUGAAGAAGGCCUUCGGGUUGUAAAGCACUUUCAGUAGGGAGGAAGGUAGUGUGGUUAACACCUGCACUAUUUGACGUUACCUACAGAAGAAGCACCGGCUAACUCCGUGCCAGCAGCCGCGGUAAUACGGAGGGUGCGAGCGUUAAUCGGAAUUACUGGGCGUAAAGCGCAUGCAGGUGGUUUGUUAAGUCAGAUGUGAAAGCCGGC